UUCCCAUGACAUUGCUAUCUAGCAAUAAAACCAUUGUAAAAAUGGAUUGUACUUCUGCCACAAGAAAUUAAGGUCUGCAUUGGGUGAAUUUCUCAUUUCUACCUAUGUUUCCAUGUUGUGUUACCUUCUAAACUAGGAAAGGAUCUGUGCUUGAACAGCUUUACAGUACAUGGAUAUUUAUUCGCCUUUGUUGUUUCCUUUUCAUAGGGCCCCCUUGGUAUACCUGGUUCAGCAGGUUUUCCAGGUGCACCUGGUAUGAAGGGUGAAGCAGGUCCAACAGGUGCACGUGGUCCAGAAGGCCCUCAGGGACAAAGAGGAGAAACAGGUCUAGCAGGUCCUCCAGGAUUGUCUGGUCUUCCUGGUGCUCUUGGUACAGAUGGUUCCACGGGUGCUAAAGGACCAACCGUAAGUAAACAAAUCAAGCAAAUCAACAAUCUUUUUAAUACUGUGUCUUCUGUUCUGCAUCUCUUAUUGACUGUAUGUGUUUAUUGUGUAGGGAUCUGCAGGCACUUCAGGACCACAUGGCUUACCAGGGCCAGCUGGUUCCCCUGGACCACAAGGGAGCACAGGUCUUCCUGGCGUCCGAGGACAAAUGGGAGAUCCUGGUGUGCCAGGUUUCAAAGGAGAAGCAGGCCCCAAAGGCGAACCCGGUCCACAUGGCCCUCAGGGUCCAAUUGGCCCUGUUGGUGA
rnacentral:lncRNA from 1 species